GACGAACGCUGGCGGCGUGCUUAACACAUGCAAGUCGAACGGAAAGGCCCUGCUUUUGUGGGGUGCUCGAGUGGCGAAAGGGUGAGUAACACGUGAGUAACCUGCCCUUGACUUUGGGAUAACUUCAGGAAACUGGGGCUAAUACCGGAUAGGAGCUCCUGCUGCAUGGUGGGCGUUGGAAAGUUUCGGCGGUUGGGGAUGGACUCGCGGCUUAUCAGCUUGUUGGUGGGGUAGUGGCUUACCAAGGCUUUGACGGGUAGCCGGCCUGAGAGGGUGACCGGCCACAUUGGGACUGAGAUACGGCACAGACUCCUACGGGAGGCAGCAGUGGGGAAUAUUGCACAAUGGGCGGAAGCCUGAUGCAGCAACGCCGCGUGCGGGAUGACGGCCUUCGGGUUGUAAACCGCUUUCGCCUGUGACGAAGCGUGAGUGACGGUAAUGGGUAAAGAAGCACCGGCUAACUACGUG
rnacentral:rRNA from 1 species